UACGUAGGGGGCAAGCGUUGUCCGGAUUUAUUGGGCGUAAAGAGCGUGUAGGCGGUUAGGUAGGUCCGUUGUGAAAACUCGAGGCUCAACCUCGAGACGCCGAUGGAAACCAUCUGACUAGAGUCCGGAAGAGGAGAGUGGAAUUCCUGGUGUAGCGGUGAAAUGCGCAGAUAUCAGGAAGAACACCCGUGGCUAAGGCGGCUCUCUAGUACGUGACUGACGCUGAGACGCGAAAGCGUGGGGAGCGAACCGG
rnacentral:rRNA from 1 species